rnacentral:misc_RNA from 1 species
UAAAAUUCUUUCCAAGCUUCAUUUCAGGCAAGUGCGUAUCAGUUGGGAAAUGGAAGCUCUGCCAGAGGAAAUUUUCUGGAUUGUCAUCAUUUGCAUCUUUGACAACAAGAUUACCAGAAUCUAAAAGUAUUGCAACAGGAUUUUGGACUGAUCUUGAGGUGUUUGUGGACCAUAUCAUUUCAUUUUUGCCAUUGAGAAGAGCAAGUAUUCCCCGCUUGUUAACCUUCAAAACGACUAACGAUGUAUUGGUGAGUGGUUUCUCUCUGUUUGCAACCCAUACAACUGUUUGGACAUGAGAAAGA